CUUCUUUUAUUUCUUCUGUGAAUUUUAUUCUUCCUCUACUCUUAGGGAUACCCAUAUGCUGCCUCUGUGCCUCUGAUCUAACAUGACCGCCAAUGUGUGUGGCAAAACUGUCACUUUUAAAAAAUUCAGACCUUGUUCGCACUGUUGAGGAGUAAAAUCUCGGUCUCAUAUAACUUUAAGUUCCUCUGAUGUUCAAUUAAGUUGAUUUAGUUGUUAUAGUUAAGAAAUUCAUAUUUGAUCAACUACCUUGAAUGUCCUGCCAUCAUUUUAAGUCUGAAAGAGUACAGUAUCAGGUUAAAGGUUGAACAAGCUAAGAAAAUAACGAAGAAUCAAGAAAGAAUCUACAUCAAAUUUUGAAAGUUAAAGAGCACCAGUUGUUAAUGGUUCCUUGGUUGUCACUCUAGACUUAAGUUUUGCUGGAAAAAAAAAGAGUACCAGUUGUUAUUUGAUUGUGUAUUUCCAAUAUGGACCUUUUGUAAUCACAAGGCAUGUGUUUCUGAUGAAAACAAAUCAGUUGUCAUUGGUCUUACUUUUAUACUUAUUGAUUUGUACUUGAACAUAUUUUUCUUCUUCUAUUUUUUCUUGUCCUUUACUUCCUAAUAUAUCUAAUGAAAGAAUUAGAACAUAAAAUUGUUGUCAUCAGAAAGUGUUGCAGAAAUUUUUGGCAUCAUUUGAGAUGACUAGGAUUAUCUGAAACUGAUGAAAGCCUUUGUUAAAGAAAAUCUUUGGCAUCAUUAUUCUUAGAAUACCGGAUGAUGUAUUUUACAAUCAAUUGUUCAUAUUCAAUCUCAAACCCUUUGGGGAGUUCAUGUAUUUCUUGGAAUUACGCGAGCAUAUUUUAUUUUAUUUCUGCAAUGUUAAUAAGUAUUACCAGGAAAUCAUUUUUUUUUAUUCUUUUUCCUUUGAAUGGUUAGUAUUCAUGCUAUAAAAUGGUCUCUUAUUUACCUCUUUUUCAUUACCAACUAGGUUAUGAAUGGUUUGGGAUUUCAAGGAAAGGAUCUCAAGACACUUUCAACAAAGAUACCAUUUACUAUGACAAGGAAAAAAUAUUUUAACAAAUUAAAUAAAUCAUUCUUCUUUUGGUGAUUUAAUUGUGGGAAAUUAGUUGUUAAGUAAACUAAAUGAUAUAUAGUACCCAUGUUAGUGGGUAAUUUUCAGUUGUGAUAAUCAAUGGCUUGUUAGUCAUUGGAAAUAUGUUGUUGAACGUCCCAUGCUUUUGGAGAUUCUCCCUUGCUCACCUUUUAACGGAGUACCUGUAUGUUCUUAUUUAAGAAGUUGUCCAAUUGCUAAUGGAACUGCAUUUUCUAAAAAUAGUGUUUUUCUAAUUCUACUAGGUUGAUAAUAAUGAGUGAUCUGUUUUUGACAUCUAUUUUUCCUUUUUCCAUUUAGCAUAACUUCUUGCUCUAUGAAUUCUCUUUAUAGCUUGAACAUAUUUUGUAUUACAUCUAAAUAGUUAUAUAAUUUUCUGUUGUUUCUCUCACCAUUUAGCUGCAGCAGCUAGUCAUAAUUUAGAUAAUAGUCCAAGAAAGGUCAUUUCUUUGGAAACAACAAGUCCAUUGAAUCUACACUCAUAUGAGGAUUUGGAAGCUUCAGUUUACAAGUAAAGAUGAAAUUUUGAAGAUUUAGAACAAGCUGACAAUUUUUUUUGUUCAACAAAGCAUUAUAGUAUUUACUAAGGAUGUUAGCCUUUGUGGGAUAAUGAGUUAUGUGAAUAGUAUUGUGAACUCUAUUUAUAUGCUUUUGAGUAACUAUAUUAGAAGUUGUAUAAUAUCUUAGAAAAUCUUGAAUUAUUUAGCUGCCACAUUUUUGGCCAUAAUCAUUAUUAAUUCUACUUCU